GAUGAACGCUGGCGGCGUGCUUAACACAUGCAAGUCGAACGAAGCACCUUUAUUCGAUUCUUCGGAUGGAGAGCUUGGUGGGUGAGUGGCGGACGGGUGAGUAACGCGUGAGUAACCUGCCUCAUACAGGGGGAUAACAGUUAGAAAUGACUGCUAAUACCGCACAAGACCACAGCACCGCAUGGUGCAGGGGUAAAAACUCAGGUGGUAUGAGAUGGACCCGCGUCUGAUUAGGUAGUUGGUGGGGUAACGGCCUACCAAGCGGCCGAUCAGGAGCCGAGCUGAGAGGGUGACCGGCCACAUUGGGACUGAGACACGGCCCAAACUCCUACGGGAGGCGGCAGUGGGGAAUAUUGCACAAUGGGGGAAAACCUGAUGCAGCGACGCCGCGUGAGCGAUGCAGUAUUUCGGUAUGUAAAGCUCUAUCAGCAGGGAAGAAAAUGACGGUAACUGACUAAGAAGCACCGGCUAAAUACGUG
rnacentral:rRNA from 1 species